rnacentral:rRNA from 1 species
GAUGAACGCUGGCGGCGUGCCUAAUACAUGCAAGUCGAGCGAACAGACGAGGAGCUUGCUCCUCUGACGUUAGCGGCGGACGGGUGAGUAACACGUGGAUAACCUACCUAUAAGACUGGGAUAACUUCGGGAAACCGGAGCUAAUACCGGAUAAUAUAUUGAACCGCAUGGUUCAAUAGUGAAAGACGGUUUUGCUGUCACUUAUAGAUGGAUCCGCGCCGCAUUAGCUAGUUGGUAAGGUAACGGCUUACCAAGGCAACGAUGCGUAGCCGACCUGAGAGGGUGAUCGGCCACACUGGAACUGAGACACGGUCCAGACUCCCACGGGAGGCAGCAGUAGGGAAUCUUCCGCAAUGGGCGAAAGCCUGACGGAGCAACGCCGCGUGAGUGAUGAAGGUCUUCGGAUCGUAAAACUCUGUUAUUGGGGAAGAACAAAUGUGUAAGUAACUAUGCACGUCUUGACGGUACCUAAUCAGAAAGCCACGGCUAACUACGUG